UCUAAGUAUAACCUGCCAGACAGGGAAACUGCGUACGGCUCAUUACACCAGCCUUAAUUUACUUGACCUUGACAACCUACUUGGAUAACUGUGGUAAUUCUAGAGCUAAUACAUGCACCAAAGCUCCGAUCCUCGCGGAGAGGAGCGCAUUUGUUCGCCACAAAACCAAGCGCCCAUCUGGGCGUCCAGUGCUGAACCAGAACAACUCAGCUGAUCGCACGGUCUUGUACCGGCGACGUGUCUUUCAAGUGUCUGCCUUAUCAACUUUCGAUGGUAGUGUACCUGACUACCAUGGUUGUGACGGGUAACGGAGGAUAAGGGUUCGACUCCGGAGAAGGGGCCUGAGAAAUGGCCACUACGUCUAAGGAUGGCAGCAGGCGCGCAAAUUACCCACUCU
rnacentral:rRNA from 1 species